ACAUCGAAACUUGCCUCUUCCCCUGGGUGU
rnacentral:piRNA from 1 species